UACGUAGGGGGCAAGCGUUGUCCGGAUUUAUUGGGCGUAAAGAGCGUGUAGGCGGCUUUACAGGUCCGUUGUGAAAACUCGAGGCUCAACCUCGAGACGCCGGUGGAAACCGUAAGGCUAGAGUCCGGAAGAGGAGAGUGGAAUUCCCGGUGUAGCGGUGAAAUGCGCAGAUAUCGGGAAGAACACCCGUGGCGAAAGCGGCUCUCUGGGACGGUACUGACGCUGAGACGCGAAAGCGUGGGGAGCGAACAGG
rnacentral:rRNA from 1 species